rnacentral:tRNA from 1 species
UGGCGUGUGGCUCCGUGGUAGAGCCCUUGCCUGGCACACAUGAAGCCCUGGGUUCAAACCCAAGCACUACAA